rfam:Stegodyphus mimosarum contig21786, whole genome shotgun sequence.
GCCUUCGUGGUGUAAUGGUCAGUAUACUCGACGCGUAUUCGAGAGGUCGGUGGUUCGAAUGCCGGCGAGGGCA